GAUGAACGCCGGCGGCGUGCCUAAUACAUGCAAGUCGAACGCGCAGCGAGAGGUGCUUGCACCUUUCAAGCGAGUGGCGAACGGGUGAGUAACACGUGGAUAGCCUGCCUCAAGGCUGGGGAUAACAUUUGGAAACAGAUGCUAAUACCGAAUAAAACUUAGUGUCGCAUGAUAUCAAGUUAAAAGGCGCUACGGCGUCACCUAGAGAUGGAUCCGCGGUGCAUUAGUUAGUUGGUGGGGUAAAGGCUUACCAAGACGAUGAUGCAUAGCCGAGUUGAGAGACUGAUCGGCCAAAUUGGGACUGAGACACGGCCCAAACUCCUACGGGAGGCUGCAGUAGGGAAUCUUCCACAAUGGGCACAAGCCUGAUGGAGCAACGCCGCGUGUGUGAUGAAGGCUUUCGGGUCGUAAAGCACUGUUGUAUGGGAAGAAAUGCUAAAAUAGGGAAUGAUUUUAGUUUGACAGUACCAUACCAGAAAGGGACGGCUAAAUACGUGCCAGCCGCCGCCGUAA
rnacentral:rRNA from 1 species